rnacentral:rRNA from 1 species
GAUGAACGCUGGCGGCGUGCCUAAUACAUGCAAGUCGAGCGAACAGACGAGGAGCUUGCUCCUCUGACGUUAGCGGCGGACGAGUGAGUAACACGUGGAUAACCUACCUAUAAGACUGGGAUAACUUCGGGAAACCGGAGCUAAUACCGGAUAAUAUAUUGAACCGCAUGGUUCAAUAGUGAAAGACGGUUUUGCUGUCACUUAUAGAUGGAUCCGCGCCGCAUUAGCUAGUUGGUAAGGUAACGGCUUACCAAGGCAACGAUGCGUAGCCGACCUGAGAGGGUGAUCGGCCACACUGGAACUGAGACACGGUCCAGACUCCUACGGGAGGCAGCAGUAGGGAAUCUUCCGCAAUGGGCGAAAGCCUGACGGAGCAACGCCGCGUGAAUGAUGAAGGUCUUCGGAUCGUAAAACUCUGUUAUUAGGGAAGAACAAAUGUGUAAGUAACUAUGCACGUCUUGACGGUACCUAAUCAGAAAGCCACGGCUAACUACGUG